GACACUGAGGUACAGAAACUUUGAGUAAGGGUAGGAUGAUGCUGGAGCCCCAGGGAAGUGGACGCUCUCCUACCGGAAACGUGCACAGGGAGAUUGGAAGAAAGAGCUCUUCUCUGAGCAGAGGCAUCACCAUGAGGCAGCAGAUUUAUGGAUGAUGACUGCAACUCAGCCUAGGCACUGCCAGCGAGAAGACACCAGGGUCUCCUGACUGUGAUCUUCAACAAGCCCUGCCCCUCUCAGACCAUCUCUGAGCACACAGGGGCCAGCACAGGGGCCACCAUGUGAAGGAGUGUCCAGCCCAAAUCUGGGCUCCCAGACCCCCACAUCCCCUCUCGCCCACUCAGUCUCUCUAGCGGGGUAGGAGAGAAGAAGCCUGCUGGCUGAGAGAAGGGUCCUCAAGGUGCCAGCAGGUGUAGAGGUCCCCACAGCUCUCCGUGGAGUUUCCUGGUUAACUAAUUACUGGCUGACCCCUCUGCUUGAAGCCUGCAUGCCUUACCUCCCGGCUUUGGUUGUUAAGGCUGCUGUCCCAGCCCACAGGAAACACCCUGAAGUCUCUAGACAGAGAUGGAUGAUGAUGCAUUUGUCCUCAAGACCAGGGACUUCUGGCCAGGAGGGAGGCCAGCCCACAGGCUCUGCAGGUGUUGAGGCUUGGCAUGCUGCCCUGCAGUUUCAGGAUUUUCAAGUUGUAUAUAUGGAUUUGCCAUUGUAGCUCAGUGGGUUAAGAAC